GUACAGAACCCUAAGGUUUUGAAGCAAAGCCAUGUCCUCCUCUUCAAAUGUCUAUUCACCUUUGAGAAACAGCUUCUGGCUUACUACUGAGCCCUAGUUGAGACUGAAUGCCUGACCAUGGAGCUCAAGAGACCCCUGAUGUUGGGGAGCAGUUGAGGUCCCAGACCCGUAACUGAUGGUGACCACAGGAAGACAAGUUCCAGUUCUUGGUUUCAGAGGCCCCCAUGGCUGUGUUUUCCACUUCAAACCUGUCAAAAUGAGAAAAAGUCCCACAAAUCGACUGCUGCAGAAGAGGCAAGAAUCUGUCAGCAUUCAGAGAAGCCUUUCCUAGUCAUCACAAUUCGUUUUCAUAGCUACUGUGUGAGAUCAGUUAGGCAAGUGUUAAUCCCAUUACACAACAAAGCUUUGACUAAAUUCCAUUCUGCCAAAAAUACAGUAAGUCCUCUACAUAUGAACCUUCAAGUUGCCAGCUUUCAAAGAUGCGAACAUGCCCUUGUAUGCUAGCUGUUGUACUG